rnacentral:rRNA from 1 species
CGGUGAAAUGCGUAGAGAUCGGGAAGAACAUCGGUGGCGAAAGCGCUCUACUGGACGGCAACUGACACUCAGGGACGAAAGCUAGGGGAGCGAAUGGGAUUAGAUACCCCAGUAGUCCUAGCUGUAAACGAUGGAUACUAGGUGUAGCUUGUAUCGACCCGAGCUGUGCCGAAGCUAACGCGUUAAGUAUCCCGCCUGGGGAGUACGCACGCAAGUGUGAAACUCAAAGGAAUUGACGGGGGCCCGCACAAGCGGUGGAGUAUGUGGUUUAAUUCGAUGCAACGCGAAGAACCUUACCAGGGCUUGACAUGUCCGGAAUCCCGGUGAAAGCUGGGAGUGCCUUCGGGAGCCGGAACACAGGUGGUGCAUGGCUGUCGUCGGCUCGUGUCGUGAGAUGUUGGGUUAAGUCCCGCAACGAGCGCAACCCUCGUCUUUAGUUGCCAGCAUUAAGUUGGGCACUCUAGAGAGACUGCCGGUGACAAACCGGAGGAAGGUGGGGAUGACGUCAAGUCAGCAUGCCCCUUACGCUCUGGGCGACACACGUACUACAAUGGUCGGGACAGAGGGCAGCGAACCUGCGAAGGCAAGCUAAUCCCAGCAAACUCGGCCUCAGUUCAGAUCGCAGGCUGCAACUCGCCUGCGUGAAGGAGGAAUCGCUAGUAAUCGCCGGUCAGAAUACGGCGGUGAAUCCGUUCCCGGGCCUUGUACACACCGCCCGUCACACCAUGGAAGCUGGCCACGCCCGAAGUCGUUACCCUAACCUUUCGGGGAAGGGGACGCCGAAGGCAGGGUUGGUGACUGGGGUGAAGUCGUAACAAGGUAACC